GCCUAAGAAGCAAUCUCUUUUCAAGCACUCAGAGAUGGAGUCAAAGGCACUCCUGCUAUGGAUGCUGCUGCUCAGGGUACCAGGUUCCACUGGGGACAUUGUGCUGACCCAGUCUCCAGGUUUCCUGACUGUGUCUCUGGUACAAAAGGCCACCAUCUCCUGCAAGUCCAGUGAGAGUGUCGAUUUCUUUGGGAUAAAUGCUAUGCAAUGGUAUCAACAGAAACCAGGACAGCCUCCCGAAUUCCUCAUCUAUGCUGCAUCCUACCAAGAGUCUGGGGUCCCUGCCAGGUUCAGUGGCAGUGGGUCUGAGACAGACUUCACCCUCUCCAUCAAUCCUGUGGAGGCUGAUGAUGCUGCAACCUAUUACUGUCAGCAGACUAAGAAGCUUCCUCCCACAGUGCUCCAGGGCUGAACAAAAACCUCCUGGGGUUGUUGCUCACUGAGGCUC